GAUUAAAAAAUUAAAACCAUGGAAAUUAUUUCCAGAUAAGAAAGUUUUUAAUUAAAGAAUAAAUAAAAGCGGUCAACCUCGUGCCAGCAUCUGCGGUUAUACGUGGGCUCACUCUCAUAACAAAAGAAAUAAAAAAUUCCGAAAGUAAUAUUAGGAAGUCAUACAGACUGAGUAAAUUAAAAAGAUUAGAUACCUUUGUAAUACAGACAAAUAUUUAAGCAGUAAUUAUAAACUUUAAAAACCUGGCAGAAAGUAAAAUCAAAGGCUCGUUGGCAAAAAGAUAACCCGCUAUCUAAUUACGGUUAGUAGUGUAUUGCUGUUAAAGAAAUAACUAAGUUAUUAUAAUCAACCAAGCCUUAAUGCUCGGAAGUAAUUAAACCUGAGAGAUUAAGAUUUGUUAGUAAAUAAGAUAAGAAAA
rnacentral:rRNA from 1 species